rnacentral:rRNA from 1 species
UACGGAGGGUGCGAGCGUUGUCCGGAAUCACUGGGCGUAAAGGGCGCGUAGGCGGCGUUUUAAGUCGGGGGUGAAAGCCUGUGGCUCAACCACAGAAUGGCCUUCGAUACUGGGACGCUUGAGUCUGGUAGAGGUUGGUGGAACUGCGAGUGUAGAGGUGAAAUUCGUAGAUAUUCGGAAGAACACCAGUGGCGAAGGCGGCCCACUGGACGUGUAUUGACGCUGAGGUGCGAAAGCGUGGGGAGCAAACAGG